rnacentral:rRNA from 1 species
AGAGUUUGAUCCUGGCUCAGGAUGAACGCUGGCGGCGUGCUUAACACAUGCAAGUCGAACGGGAAAUAUUUCAUUGAGACUUCGGUGGAUUUGAUCUAUUUCUAGUGGCGGACGGGUGAGUAACGCGUGGGUAACCUGCCUUAUACAGGGGGAUAACAGUCAGAAAUGGCUGCUAAUACCGCAUAAGCGCACAGGGCUGCAUGGCUCAGUGUGAAAAACUCCGGUGGUAUAAGAUGGACCCGCGUUGGAUUAGCUUGUUGGUGGGGUAACGGCCCACCAAGGCGACGAUCCAUAGCCGGCCUGAGAGGGUGAACGGCCACAUUGGGACUGAGACACGGCCCAAACUCCUACGGGAGGCAGCAGUGGGGAAUAUUGCACAAUGGGCGAAAGCCUGAUGCAGCGACGCCGCGUGAGCGAAGAAGUAUUUCGGUAUGCAAAGCACUAUCAGCAGGGAAGAUAAUGACGGUACCUGACUAAGAAGC